AUGGCACAAUCAGUAACACAGACCCAAGGCCUGCUUGUCAUAAAGGAAGGACUGCAACUGUCCAUCACCUGUAACUACGACUAUUCUGGAUACCUGUAUCUCUAUUGGUACAUCCAGAACCUCGACGGUGGGGCUCCCCAGCUUCUGCUGAGAGAAGACCCCAAAGAAAACGCUCAAAACAAAAGAGCUGGGAACUUCUUUGCCACUCACCUCAAGACAGAAAGAUCCUUCCAUUUGCAAAAAGAAGUCAUCAGCAUGAGAGACUCAGCCGUCUACCACUGUGCCUUCGAAGACACAGUGGCAUUUGGCAGCAUAUGUAGUGGCGGCAAAGUUAUAUUUGGAAGUGGAACAACAUUAAAAGUUCAUCUAAGUAAGUUCAUCCCUGCACACACAAACGCAUACUGCAGUCCCCUAGAAUAA